UACGUAGGUGGCAAGCGUUAUCCGGAUUUAUUGGGUUUAAAGGGUGCGUAGGCGGGAGAUUAAGUCGGUGGUGAAAUUUUGCAGCUCAACUGUAAAAGUGCCAUUGAUACUGGUUUCCUUGAGUGUGGAUGAAGUAGGCGGAAUUUGUGGUGUAGCGGUGAAAUGCAUAGAUAUCACGAGGAACUCCGAUUGCGCAGGCAGCUUACUAAACUACUACUGACGCUCAGGCACGAAGGCGUGGGGAUCAAACAGGAUUAGAUACCCU
rnacentral:rRNA from 1 species